rnacentral:lncRNA from 1 species
ACUGUAUGGAAAUAUGGAUACUGCUCAACCCUACCAGGCACCAUUAAAAUCAGAAGUGCCUAGUUGAGAUAGAAAGCCAGGUGCUGCUCAGAGAGCUUUUUCCCAUCAACACAGCCCAUCCCCUGUGGAGCCACACAGGUUGCAGGAAAAAACUUCAUCCCAUCCACAGCAGUCAGCUCUAUCCAGAUCCAGUCACAAGGCUCCUCCAAGGAAAUGAAGACGUCUCACCUAAUGGGAAGCCUAAUGACUAUGGACAGAUGGAAGACAGCUCCUUUUACCACAUAUAUGUUUCACUUUAAUGAAGGGACUGCUUGUUGACAGAUAACUGUUCGGAGAGGGGAGAGAGGGAGAGAGUGCGAUCUGUCACUGUGCUGAUUUUAUUCUCCACCUUCUGUGGAUUUGGGCUUGUAACACUCAAGGCUGAAAUGCAGUUUUUGUGAAAAUAUUAUUUGAUAUAGUACACUCACGGUACAGUACAUGUUUAAUGCCUGUUCGUGGUUAGUGAUUUGCUCAAGCCAGUAGUCAUGGUUUUUAAUAUAGUGUGUGUGAGCGCCGGCACGCUCGCAUGUUCGUGUGUGACUGGCGUAUGUGUCUGUGCUUGUGCUUCCAUGCUUUGUGUGAGUCUUUAUGCUUGUGUCUCAUGUCCAAUGUGCGUGUUUGUGAAUAACAAUGGGCUACCACCAUUUUCCCCUUCAUAACCACCAGGUCAAUACCCCCGCCAGGAUCCCUGCUCCCAACCAGACUGGUUAGAUGUCACAGUGUGUAAAAAUAGAAGCUGGCAAUUCAUUGCAUCCGAUUUAUGAAGUAAUAUCGAGACUGUAACAACACAUUGGAGAGCUGGGGAAGAUUGGUGGUCCACCAGUCAGAUAUUUAGCUCAGCCUUGCUAUACAAUUGAUACCUGCUGUUGGGUGUCAAAAUAGUUUCCAAAAACCUGUCAUCUUUUACCAUCUCCAUGAGAUCUCAAUAACCAAUGUCAACAGCUAAGGUUUUAUUAUAAAGACUUGUCUUGUUCUUGACUUCUCCAAGACAUAUCUUGCAUAUCUUGUUCCUAAUGCAUCAGAUGUUUUAGUUUCUUAGAUAAAAAUA